AAACCUCCCUGUUAUAAUUGCCAUUCGUACUGCCAUCAGGUAUGUAAUUUGAGAAUAGGAAUCGCUGCAUCUUUUAGGCGCAUGAAUAUUACAUAGUUACAUCCCGAGUUAAUAAAAGGAAGGUAA